GGCUUAGAGUUUGAUCAUGGCUCAGGAUAAACGCUGGCGGCGCACAUAAGACAUGCAAGUCGAACGGAAGUCGUUGUAAUGAUUUUGACAUGGACGGAGAACUUGUUCAAAGGAAGUGAAGAUUGACUUACAACAAUGGCUUUAGUGGCGGACUGGUGAGUAACACGUAAGCAACCUGCCUAUCAGAGGGGAACAACAGUUAGAAAUGACUGCUAAUACCGCAUAUGCCUAAGUAUCGCAUGAUACAAUAGGGAAAGGAGCAAUCCGCUGAUAGAUGGGCUUGCGUCUGAUUAGAUAGUUGGUGGGGUAACGGCCUACCAAGUCAACGAUCAGUAGCCGGACUGAGAGGUUGAACGGCCACAUUGGGACUGAGAUACGGCCCAGACUCCUACGGGAGGCAGCAGUCGGGAAUAUUGCGCAAUGGAGGAAACUCUGACGCAGUGACGCCGCGUGCAGGAAGAAGGUUUUCGGAUUGUAAACUGCUUUAGACAGGGAAGAAAAAAGACAGUACCUGUAGAAUAAGCCCCGGCUAACUACGUGCCAGCAGCCGCGGUAAUACGUAGGGAGCAAGCGUUAUCCGGAUUUAUUGGGUGUAAAGGGUGCGUAGACGGGAAGACAAGUUAGUUGUGAAAUCCCUCGGCUUAACUGAGGAACUGCAACUAAAACUAUUUUUCUUGAGUGCUGGAGAGGAAAGUG
rnacentral:rRNA from 1 species